rnacentral:sRNA from 1 species
CUAAUGCCAAAUUAAUUAGAUCACCCAGCAUCUUUGACAUGACUCAGAUCCAAAAAUGUAAACGAAUUCCUCCCUUUCUGUCCUGCAGGGCCACAUCAAAGGCUACAUAUCGCAUCAGCAUCAGAAGCUAGUGGUCAGCAAGCAGAACCCAUUUCCUCCACUGUCCACGGUGUGUUGAAAGUACAUGUAGCCCUGAGGACGGCCUGAUGAAAACCUGGAAUUCCUUUUUCACAAAACUCAGCUGGUUCUGGAGUCUUUGUGAAACUUCCUUGAAGGAGGCUUUGCGUGAAGGCAGCUCCGACUCACUUUUCCUAAGUGUGGUUCCUGAAGGCUGUCUUUGUAACUUUUUGUAGUUCUUUGUAUAAAAAGGAUAUUCUGAAUUUAUGCACAUGGCAUGUUCUUCAUUAUAUCUUCCAGGAUACAUCUAUUUUUAUAUAUUAAAUUUGAAUAUGUUAUCAAAAUGCUUGGUUAACUUAAGGCAUCUUUUUAAAAGCAGAAUUUAAUUUGAUUUAAAUUUUCCAGAUUUUAUAGCUUGCCCGUAUGGAUGCUCCUCAAUUUAUGAUGGGGUUACAUCCCAAUAAACUUAUUUUAUUUGCCUUUG